rnacentral:rRNA from 1 species
UACGAAGGGGGCUAGCGUUGUUCGGAAUUACUGGGCGUAAAGCGCACGUAGGCGGACAUUUAAGUCAGGGGUGAAAUCCCAGAGCUCAACUCUGGAACUGCCUUUGAUACUGGGUGUCUUGAGUAUGGAAGAGGUGAGUGGAAUUCCGAGUGUAGAGGUGAAAUUCGUAGAUAUUCGGAGGAACACCAGUGGCGAAGGCGGCUCACUGGUCCUUUACUGACGCUGAGGUGCGAAAGCGUGGGGAGCAAACAGG